rnacentral:lncRNA from 1 species
CUGCCGACGAAGAAAACCAUAUUAACAAACAUAAUUUUCGGAUUCCUUUCGUUUGCGGGUGUCGGAAUUUGGGGGAAGCGCUUCGGAGGAUCCGAGAAGGAGCUGCUAUGAUUCGAACCAAAGGUGAAGCUGGGACCGGGAACAUUAUUGAAGCCGUUAGGCACGUGAGGUCCGUGAUGGGAGAUAUUAGGGUUCUUAGGAACAUGGAUGAUGAUGAGGUUUUCAGCUUCGCUAAGAAAAUUCAGUCUCCCUACGAUUUGGUUAUGCAGACGAAGCAGCUGGGGAGGUUGCCAGUGGUGCACUUUGCCGCGGGAGGAGUGGCGACGCCGGCGGAUGCGGCGUUGAUGAUGCAGUUGGGCUGUGAUGGAGUGUUUGUGGGGUCUGGGGUUUUUAAGAGUGGUGACCCGGCUAGACGUGCGCGGGCGAUUGUUCAGGCCGUCACUCAUUAUAGUGAUCCGGACGUGCUUGCUGAUGUUAGCUGUGGGCUUGGUGAGGCUAUGGUUGGUCUUAAUUUGAAUGAUAAGAAGGUUGAAAGGUUCGCGGCUCGGUCUGAUUAGUAUGUUUCAAGUUUUUCGGGCUAAGUGGAGGUGAGAAAUUUCACUGUUUCUUUAGCAUUACAGCAUGAAACUUUGAUUAUAUAUGAUGUUUUGCUUGAAUAAUUUUGUCUAGCAGUGAAUUUUAUGCUCUAGUUUUAUGGGUUUUUUGCAUGUCAAAUUUCUGAAUUGGGACAUAGAUUUGGAUAUUGGCUGUGAAAGGGGUUUGACUGCUUUGUUCUUCUUUUGGUGAUAUAAACGAUGAUGCUUUAUGUAAAUAUUAAAAGGGCAUUUGGAUGAGAGGAAUUUAUGCAUCUUCUUCUAAAAUUUUAUUAUUGUAUAUUUGAUUUCAACGUUUAGUUCAAGUUAAUAUGAGGGAAAGUGACAUAUUACUAAUAGUACUUAAAGCCUUAGAAAUAAAAAACUCAUCUCUUCUUAUGUUAUUUUAGGAUUUUGGGAAAAAAAUUACGUUAUUUUCAAAUUUGACCUAAAUAAAAAAUUAUAAAAUAGUCAUUACUAUUUUAAAAAAUAUAUUUGAAAGUGAUUGUAAAUCAGUUGUAAAUUUCUAUUGCUAAAAGAAAACUUUUUAUAUUGCAAUUAAUGGUGUUUGGCAUGAAAAACAUCUUAAAUAAUCUCUUAAAAAAUUGAUCAGCAUUAUUUAAUAUAUUUUUUGAUCAUAAAAGCCUUAAAUAAUAAAAAAAAUUGGCGUUUGGCGUAAAAACGCCUUAAACAAUCUCCUAAAAAAAUUAAUUAGCAUGAUUUAUGGUGUUUUCUUGGGAAAAAAAGCUUUAAAUAAUCCAAAAAAAAAAGUAAUCUUUAAAAAUAAACCUUAAAAAAAUGGGUCAAAUCUACGACGUUAUAGUUAAUAGUCAUAUGUUCUAACUAAUUGGGUUAUUCUAAUUUUUUUUAUAUUUUAUCUCUUAAAUCUUAUAAGUAAUGAAAGAGAUUAUCUAAGGUGCUUUUAGUAAAAAACGUUUUAAAUAAUACAGUCCAAAAAAUGAAAAGGUAUUAUUUAAGGCAUUUUGAUAAAAAAUACUUUAAAUAAUCUUCUUAAAAAAAUUAAAGUGUUAAAAAGAGAGAUCGAACUUACAACCUUAUGAUUCAUAACUAUAUACUUUAAUCGAUUGAAUUAUUCUAGUUUUUUAUAUGUUAUCUUUUAAAUCUUAUAAGUAAUGAAAAUGAUUAUUUAAGAUAAUUUUAGUAAAAAAAAUCUUAAAUAAUAUAGUAAAAAAAAAGUGAAGGUUAUUAUUUAAGGUUUAUUUUUUUUAUCAAAAAUACUUUAGAUAAUCCCCUUAAAAAAAUUAGAAAUCAUUUAAGACAUUUUUGGUAAAAAAUACCUAAUAUCUUUUAAAAAAUUGAAGGGUAUUAUUUAAGGCAUUUUUGACAAAAAAAUGCCUUAAAUAAUUCAUUUUACAAAAAUAUUAGUGAUUAUUGAAUGUGUUUUGACUUUUUUUGGUAAAAAACGUCUUAAAUAAUUAAAAAAAAAUUGAAGAUUAUUUAAUGUAUUUUUGACAUUUUUGAUCAAAAACACUUUAAAUAAUAUCUUUCAAAAAAUUAAAAAGUAUUAUUUAAAGCAUUUAAAAAAUAUCUUAAAUAAUCCAUUUAAAAAAAAAUAGAGAUUAUUUAAAAUAUUUUUGGAUAAAAAUGCCUUAAAAAAUUUUCUCAUAUUUUUUAAAUGAGUUUAUUUAAGGAGCUUUUGAAUAAAAAAUAUUUUAAAUAAUUCUUUUUUAAAAAAAUAAAAAAGAUUAUUUAGGGUAUUUUUCAAUUAGAAAUGUAUUAAAUAAUUUUUAAUAUUUUUUUAUUGAUGAUAUUUUAUAAAUAAAAACAACAAUCAAAUAAAAUAUUUAUUUUUUUUAUUGUUAAAGGUAUCAUUUAUCAUUUGAGUAUUUAUUAUUAAUAAAAUCUAAUAAAAAAUUGUCAUUAUAUAUAUUAAAAAGAUUAUGAUAAUUAUUCAAAAAUUAAUAUAUGUGAAUUCUCUUGAACUAAAUAAGUGAAUUUGAAUAUAAAGCACUCUAAAAAUAAAAAAAAAUCUCGAGUAUUAUAUUUUUUCAAAAAUCAUAUUUUCUCCUUAAAUUCAAAAUUUUGUGAACCCCAUGCCCUAAAAGUAGGUAAGAAGAAAAGCUGGCCGCUAAAUUGAUGAGUUGUUGAAAGGAUCUUGGCUUUCCUGUUCUUUUGGUAUUGUUUUAGCAUUCAUGGCUUUGUUUUCUACUAUAAUUUCCAAUUUUCGACAUAGUUUGGCGACUGCAUCGUUUUGAUUAUAGUAAGUUGUUGAUGUAUUUGACGUAAGCUGUCAAUUCUUUUGUUUCAAUUUUCAAGUAGUUCGGGAGGAGCGAUUCAUAGCGCAAAGCAAUUUGAUAUUACUGGAUUUUGAAAUAAAUGAUACGAUAAUAACGUGCUUCGAGAGUAAAUAUGAAGUCAUUUAUUAAUUCAUUCAAAUUACUGAGUAUAUUGGAUUUUGUUGUUAGCUUUCUUCUUGCUUUCCAAUGCUUUAUACAUUUCUUGAAAGCAUCAGCAUUGAUAAUUCAUUAGCAGGCAGUAGUGACAAGGUUGUAGUAAUUGACGGUUUCAGUUUCGGAUUCUUCGAGUGGUAAGAGUUGUGAUAAUAUUAUUUGAUAUUAUUUAUCAAUAGCGUGCAAAUCGAUUAAUUUGUUAAGAUAAUAUCAAAUAUAAACAUUUUAUAAAUCAGAUAUAUAAUCGAAAUAUUUUAACUAAUGUUUAAGACUACGACGCUCUUUUGAACCAUUGAACUAAUUGUUGAGAUGUCUGAUCGUCUUUGCAGGAAUCAUUUGGUCUCUUUUUCCAGAUUAUCCGUGUCAAGUCUAGUCAUUUCAUACGGUGGGGUGUACUUUUAUGUCUAAAAUAGGUUUUAAGCCUGCGGAUGCCGGAGCAAAAUAAAAAAUGUGUUAGUUUAAAUAUUGAAUGAUGUAGAAUAGAAAAAAAAGAUGCAAAAAGAAAUAGCAGAAACAAGAAAGAUUUAAAGGUUUAAUUAGCUAUUAUAAUAUAAUCACCAAAGC